rnacentral:rRNA from 1 species
UACGAAGGGGGCUAGCGUUGCUCGGAAUCACUGGGCGUAAAGGGUGCGUAGGCGGGGCUUUAAGUCAGGGGGGAAAUCCUGGAGCUCAACUCCAGAACUGCCUUUGAUACUGAAGAUCUUGAGUUCGGGAGAGGUGAGUGGAACUGCGAGUGUAGAGGUGAAAUUCGUAGAUAUUCGCAAGAACACCAGUGGCGAAGGCGGCUCACUGGCCCGAUACUGACGCUGAGGCACGAAAGCGUGGGUAGCAAACAGG